rnacentral:lncRNA from 1 species
GUUUUGUUCAAGUAGAGAGACGCCCUUGGUUUGCACAACUUGCAGCAGCAGCGCAGUGGUAAACACCUUGCUCCUCUAUCCAGGAGGUCGCGGGAUCAAGUCCCAGCCGGCCCCAUUUUUUGCUCUGUUUGCACGCACACAUCCACUUCGGGGUAGAAAAAUAACCGUAGCUUGGUUUUAAAUAAUCUUUAUAUGUAAAUGGGGUAGAAAAAUGCCUAGUUUAGCAUGAUGCACUCAUCUAGCAUGUUUAACAACUCUAAAAUUAUGUUUGGGGCAGAACAGUACCAAACCUUAAUAUAUGCAUAUGAGGAGUUUCCGGACUUGUUGGUUGUUGUUCCGGCCUCAUUUAAACUUGCCUAGGUAGGUAGUUUUCCUAUGCUCCACCUCUUGCCAUGUUUAACAACAUUUAAUAUUGGUGGGUACAUAAACAAGAUCGAACUAAAUAACUUGUGUGGUGUUUCGUCAAUAUGCAACUCUUUGCAUAUUGAGCUCCACUUAAUUUAUAGGAUUGUUUGUGCAUUUUGCCAUGCCAUGCUUCAUUAAACCGGACAUGCAUCAUAAUUGUUUGUGCAUCAUGCCAUGCUUAUGUGGUGGUUGUUUACCAUGAUUGUUUGUUUCUUUCCGGUGUUGCUUCUUCGGGUUGGUUCCGAUAACGUCGUGUUUGUGAGGAUCCGUUCGACUAUGUCCGUUUGUCUUCUUCAUGGACUCGUUCUUCUUCCUUGCGGGAUUUCAGGCAAGAUGACCAUACCCUCGAAAUCACUUCUAUCUUUGCUUGCUAGUUGCUCGCUCUUUUGCUAUGCCUAUGCUGCGAUACCGACCACUUGCUUAUCAUGCCUCCCAUAUUGUUGAACCAAGCCUCUAACCCACCUUGUCCUAGCAAACCGUUGUUUGGCUAUGUUACCACUUUGCUCAGCCCCUCUUAUAGCGUUGUUAGUUGCAGGUGAAGAUUGAAGUUUGUUCCUUGUUGGAACAUGGAGAUGUUGUUCCUUAUUGGAACAUGUUUACUUGUUGGGAUAUCACAAUAUAUCUUAUUUAAUUAAUGCAUCUAUAUACUUGGUAAAGGGUGGAAGGCUCGGCCUUAUGCCUGGUGUUUUGUUCCACUCUUGCCGCCCUAGUUUCCGUCAUAUCGGUGUUAUGUUCCCGGAUUUUGCGUUCCUUACGCGGUUGGGUUAUAAUGGGAACCCCUUGAUAGUUCGCUUUGAAUAAAACUCCUCCAGCAAGGCCCAACAUUGUUUUUACCAUUUGCCACCUAGCCUCUUUUUCCCUUGGGUUAGGCCAGCCCAAAGGUCAUCUUUAUUUUAAACCCCCGGGCCAGUGCUCCUCUGAGUGUUGGUCCAACACAGAGCAUCGUGCAGGGCCAUCCCUUGGCAACUUGGGUUACGUCGGCUCCUGUACGCUUAGCUUAUCCGGUGUGCCCUGAGAACGAGAUAUGUGCAGCUCCUAUCGGGAUUUGUCGGCAUAGCGGGUGGUCUUGCUGGACUUGUUUUACCAUUGUCGAGGAUGUCUUGUAGAACCGGGAUACCGAGUCUGAUCGGAAUGUCUCGGGAGGAGGUCUAUUCCUUUGUUGACUGUGAGAGCUUGUGAUGGGCUAACUUGGGACACCCCUGUAGGGAUUUGAACUUUCGAAAGCCGUGCCCACGGUUAUGGGCAGAUGAUAAUUUGUUAAUGUUCGGUUGUAGAAAACCUGAAGUUGACCUUAAUUAAGAUACAUCAACCGCGUGUGUUACCGUGAUGGUCUCUUUUCGGCGGAGUCCGGGAAGUGAACACGGUGUUGGAAUUAUGCUUGACGUAGGUUGUUUUAGGACCACUUCUUGAUCAUACUUGUAUCGACUGUGCUUUGCCUUCUCUUCUCGCUCUCAUUUGCGUAUGUUAGCCACCAUAUAUGCUAGCCGCUUGCUGCAGCUCCACCUCAUACCUUUACUUUACCCAUAAGCUUAAAUAGUCUUGAUCGCGAGGAUGCGAGAUUGCUGAGUCCCUGUGGCUCACAGAUACUUCCAAAACCAGCUUGCAGGUGCCGAUGAUGCCAUUCCAGGUGACGCAACCAAGCUCAGGAGGAGCUCGAUGGAGAUCUUGUCCUUUGUGUUGUUUUCGUUCUAGUUGAUCAGUAGUGGAGCCCAGUUGGGGUCGAUCGGGGACUUUGUCGCAUUUGGGGUUCUUCUUUUAUUUUGGUUCCGUAGUCGGACCUUGAUUGUAUUUGGAUGUUGUAAUGUUUUAUUCAUGUAAUUGUGUGAAGUGGCGAUUGUAAGUCAACUAUGUAUCUCUUUCCCUUAUGUAUUAAAU